rnacentral:rRNA from 1 species
AUUGAACGCUGGCGGCAGGCUUAACACAUGCAAGUUGAGCGGGGGGAGGUAGCUUGCUACCGGACCUAGCGGCGGACGGGUGAGUAAUGCUUAGGAAUCUGCCUAUUAGUGGGGGACAACAUCUCGAAAGGGAUGCUAAUACCGCAUACGUCCUACGGGAGAAAGCAGGGGAUCUUCGGACCUUGCGCUGAUAGAUGAGCCUAAGUCGGAUUAGCUAGUUGGUGGGGUAAAGGCCUACCAAGGCGACGAUCUGUAGCGGGUCUGAGAGGAUGAUCCGCCACACUGGGACUGAGACACGGCCCAGACUCCUACGGGAGGCAGCAGUGGGGAAUAUUGGACAAUGGGGGGAACCCUGAUCCAGCCACGCCGCGUGUGUGAAGAAGGCCUUAUGGUUGUAAAGCACUUUAAGCGAGGAGGAGGCUACUUUAGUUAAUACCUAGAGAUAGUGGACGUUACUCGCAGAAUAAGCACCGGCUAACUCUGUGCCAGCAGCCGCGGUAA